rnacentral:misc_RNA from 1 species
GAUGAAACUGAAACUGAACGUG